rnacentral:siRNA from 1 species
AGUGCUUCCUAUAAUGAGUAAACA